rnacentral:lncRNA from 1 species
GGAGCAGGCGAUGAAUGAUUACAUCACUAAGGUGAAGCAGUUGCUGGAAGAAGCUGCAGCUUCGAGUUGAUUACUAGCCGUCGUCUAUGAGUAGCUCGCGAUAUAAGUUUGAAAUAUGAUUAUGAAGUAAGUUAUUGACUGUCCUGGUUAUCUUCUACUAUGCUGGCGUAUUUAUGAUUGAAUUUGGUGGAGUUCAGUUAUUCAGACAGUGAUGUGUCAUUGUUAUUAUGAAAAUCCUAUGUCAUUGUUAUUGAGACAAUCUUGUGAUUGAGAUGGUGCUUAUUCUUGAUAGCUUGUAGUAAUAUGGCACUGUUCUAUCUUUGUUUUCCAAUUGUUAUAUUUUUAUGCGUAAACCAUUACUGCUAUUGGGAAAGAAUUUAAUGGGAUUGCCACGCUCCCCACAAUUGAACAAGAGAAAAAACUAUUAAGGAGGCCUUUGAUUUGGUGAAUGAGAUAAAUAAAAUUGAUAAAUUUUUAUUUUCCAAUUG